AAAAAGAUAAACCCUGGGUUUCCGUGUCCAACUUUGAUUGUCCGUUUUAUAUGAAAUUUUUUUAUAAUUCGUAUUUUUAUUGUUGUUAGAUGAUAAAAUAUGAUUAAUAUUUUAUGCGUGACUUGUCUUUUUAAUUUUUUUUUAUAAUUUUUUCAAAUAAGACGGACGGUCAAAUGUUGGGCACGGAAACCAGGGUUUGUCUUUUU
rnacentral:pre_miRNA from 1 species